GAUAAACGCUGGCGGCGUGCCUAAUACAUGCAAGUCGAGCGAACGGACGAGAAGCUUGCUUCUCUGAUGUUAGCGGCGGACGGGUGAGUAACACGUGGAUAACCUACCUAUAAGACUGGGAUAACUUCGGGAAACCGGAGCUAAUACCGGAUAAUAUUUUGAACCGCAUGGUUCAAAAGUGAAAGACGGUCUUGCUGUCACCUAUAGAUGGAUCCGCGCUGCAUUAGCUAGUUGGUAAGGUAACGGCUUACCAAGGCAACGAUGCAUAGCCGACCUGAGAGGGUGAUCGGCCACACUGGAACUGAGACACGGUCCAGACUCCUACGGGAGGCAGCAGUAGGGAAUCUUCCGCAAUGGGCGAAAGCCUGACGGAGCAACGCCGCGUGAGUGAUGAAGGUCUUCGGAUCGUAAAACUCUGUUAUUAGGGAAGAACAUAUGUGUAAGUAACUGUGCACAUCUUGACGGUACCUAAUCAGAAAGCCACGGCUAACUACGUGCCAGCAGCCGCGGUAAUACGUAGGUGGCAAGCGUUAUCCGGAAUUAUUGGGCGUAAAGCGCGCGUAGGCGGUUUUUUAAGUCUGAUGUGAAAGCCCACGGCUCAACCGUGGAGGGUCAUUGGAAACUGGAAAACUUGAGUGCAGAAGAGGAAAGUGGAAUUCCAUGUGUAGCGGUGAAAUGCGCAGAGAUAUGGAGGAACACCAGUGGCGAAGGCGACUUUCUGGUCUGUAACUGACGCUGAUGUGCGAAAGCGUGGGGAUCAAACAGGAUUAGAUACCCUGGUAGUCCACGCCGUAAACGAUGAGUGCUAAGUGUUAGGGGGUUUCCGCCCCUUAGUGCUGCAGCUAACGCAUUAAGCACUCCGCCUGGGGAGUACGACCGCAAGGUUGAAACUCAAAGGAAUUGACGGGGACCCGCACAAGCGGUGGAGCAUGUGGUUUAAUUCGAAGCAACGCGAAGAACCUUACCAAAUCUUGACAUCCUUUGACAACUCUAGAGAUAGAGCCUUCCCCUUCGGGGGACAAAGUGACAGGUGGUGCAUGGUUGUCGUCAGCUCGUGUCGUGAGAUGUUGGGUUAAGUCCCGCAACGAGCGCAACCCUUAAGCUUAGUUGCCAUCAUUAAGUUGGGCACUCUAAGUUGACUGCCGGUGACAAACCGGAGGAAGGUGGGGAUGACGUCAAAUCAUCAUGCCCCUUAUGAUUUGGGCUACACACGUGCUACAAUGGACAAUACAAAGGGCAGCGAAACCGCGAGGUCAAGCAAAUCCCAUAAAGUUGUUCUCAGUUCGGAUUGUAGUCUGCAACUCGACUACAUAAAGCUGGAAUCGCUAGUAAUCGUAGAUCAGCAUGCUACGGUGAAUACGUUCCCGGGUCU
rnacentral:rRNA from 1 species